rnacentral:lncRNA from 1 species
ACUGUGGUGUGGGGAACACACAGCGUAAAGGCAGUUGGCUGUCCUUAUUUGGAGAGUCGUGGGAAGAAAAUCUGCAAGAAACCUCAGCAGCUUCUUUUUAUUGUUUUAUUUUCAUUUUCAGUAUCUCCGCGUGUAAGUUGUCAUAUAAUAGAAUUUGGAAUGCAGCAUAUUGGUCUGGACUCCAACCAGAGAUAUUUACCUACUAGAGUGCCAGAAUAAUGCUCCUAUGUGAAACUGGCUUGCUCAUGUUUCCUUCUGUGAGAGGACCAAGGGAGGCUGUGGUGUGUGCUGUCCCCACUCCUGAGCUCCUGGGGCUUUUCUUCCGCUCACGGACCUCCCUUUACCACGGGCUCAGGCACCGUUUACAGCAGCCAUUGGAUAUUUUCUGGUGGCUCCUAGUUGAUGUCCACAGAACUGAGCACCGUUACCUCAGUUAAUGCUUCUUCUCGCUGCCCCCCCCCACGUACCCCAUGGCACUUUUGGAUGUGGAGAGCCCCUGGUUAAAGCUCAGACAUUGCACACACAGCCCCGGAGGCAUACACCAUACCUGUGAUCACUCAGCAAGCUCCUGAUUAGUAACCGUCCUCCUGUUUUCUCUUUCUCCUUCCUUCAUUAGCAGUUUGGUGCUUCUUUCUUCCUGCCUCCACCCUUUCCACCCUCAUUCUCCUACCUCCCACUCCUGCCUUAGACAGAGGGCACAGGGGGAGAACAUUUGGGAGUUUAGAUUACAGGAAACCAAAACAUGGGUAGGUUUAAUAAGAGACCGCUUCCCAGUUUUAAUGGCCGGUCAGUGGCUGUCGAUUCCCACACUAGCAUCAGACUACUACAACCAACUUCCAGGGUCCAGAUGGUUUGAGCCACGCUGUAGAGAAUGUUACUUUUCAUAUGGAUUCAUCGCAUGAGAUUUCACUUGUCUCCUCAUUUACUCUUAUAUUUGACUAAUUACUGGGUGUACCUGGGUUUUGGGUGUACCUUAACAAUGCAUUUACUGUGGCUUUCUACUCAUGCUCCUUCUGAUGCCUAGUUGCAACAGGCUGGUCCCCUGGGCCCUGUGAGCUGGGUGUUAAUGAGUUACAUAGAAGAGACAAGGCUUGCCUAGUAUCACUUGGAUGAUAAGCAGCAGAGUUCUAAGCUCAGAUUUCUCUACUUUAUAAAAACCCUUAUCAACACUUCAGUGCAAGCAGGUAGACUUGAAGGUCAAGUUUAAGGGUCUGCUUAUGGGCCAAGAUAAUAUUUUAAAACCUAGGUAGCUGUAGGGACAUGGGAAGUUGAAACUGCAGGGAAGAAGAAUGCUGUGUUUUUGACCAAGGGAGGCAACUGACAGGCCAUAAUUGAAUCUCCUAUGACUGGUUCUUAAAUUCCUGUCGUGCCCUCUGGAGUCAGAAACACCACAGAUCCCGAGACCCUGUAGGCCUCAGAUUUCUCUUAAAGAAAAUGGCCAGGCCAAUUACUCUAUCUUGAAGUCAUGCCCCUUCCCCCAACUAGAGAUUGCAAUCAUUGGCAAUGUACAGCCCCUGGUUGAUCUAACAUUCUUCAAAACAGGACGGAAUUUUUGAAUAAGUAUUUAAAGUUUUAUUAUUAUUCUAGUGGUGUUAAAGGAGCUAAAUAUGAAAACUUCCAUAUAAGGAAAAUGUCUUCAGAGAAUUUUUAAAUAAUGGCUGUUUACAUACAGAAUAUUUUAGACAUUUUGUUCUUCAACAAAUGUUCAAGAAGCCCUAUGGGUAAAUUAAAACUAGCUGAAUAGGUGUUGUUUUUAACUUGUGAAAACAGUGAUAGGAUGAUUUUUGUGGAGUCCAAACCCAGAAACUAUUUUAUCACAUACCUUUUCUUCUGGACUCUUGGCAGUAUCUGAUGUUUUCUGAAUUGUGUAAUGCCAGAUUUCUGUUCUUAGUAAGCCUAUGACCUUUUUAAUAGUGUAAAAGCCUAAUCCAGGCCAACAAGAUGGCUUAGUAGGUAAGGCACUUCACUCUAAGCCUGGUGACCUGAGUUUGAUCCCCAGGAAACGAUGGAAGAAGAGGAAAAACUCCCACAAAUUGUCCUCUGACUUAGGCACAAAAGCAUGUGCUCACACAAAAGUAAGUUAAUAAAUGU